rnacentral:rRNA from 1 species
GAUGAACGCUAGCAGCAGGCCUAAUACAUGCAAGUCGAACGGUGUCUUCGGACAUAGUGGCGCACGGGUGCGUAACACGUAUGCAACCUACCUUACAUUGGGGGAUAGCCUUUCGAAAGGGAGAUUAAUACCGCAUAAGACAGUAGCUGGGCAUCCAGCAGCUGUUAAAGAUUUAUCGAUGUAAGCUGGGCAUGCGUCCAAUUAGCUAGUUGGUGAGGUAACGGCUCACCAAGGCAAUGAUUGGUAAGGGAACUGAGAGGUCAAUCCCCCACACUGGCACUGAGAUACGGGCCAGACUCCUACGGGAGGCAGCAGUAGGGAAUAUUGGGCAAUGGACGCAAGUCUGACCCAGCCAUGCCGCGUGCAGGAUGAAGGCGUUAUGCGUUGUAAACUGCUUUUAUACAGGAAGAAACGACUCUUGCGAGAGGCAUUGACGGUACUGUAUGAAUAAGCACCGGCUAACUCCGUGCCAGCAGCCGCCGUAAGAC